rnacentral:misc_RNA from 1 species
GAUGAAGAACGUAGCGAAAUGCGAUAAGUAAUGUGAAUUGCAGAAUUCAGUGAAUCAUCGAAUCUUUGAACGCAUCUUGCGCUCCUUGGUAUUCCUUGGAGCAUACCUGUUUGAGUAUCAUGAGCAAAUCUCAAAGUCAAUUCCUUUUGUUGAUUCAAUUGGUUUUGCUUUGGACUUGGAGGCCUUGCAGAUUUCACAGUCUGCUCCUCUUAAAUGCAUUAGCUGGAUCUCAGUAAUUAUGCUUGGUUCCACUCGGCGUGAUAAGUAUCACUCGCUGAGGACACUGUUAAAAAGGUGGCCAGGAAAAUACUGAUUGAACCGCUUCUAACGGUCUAUUAAGUUAGACAAUUACCCUUAAGUUUGAUCUCAAAUCAGGUAGGACUACCCGCUGAACUUAAGCAUAUCAAUAAGCGGAGGA